AAAACAACGCUCCUUCGUUGUUAAAGUUGAUUGGGGACUAUGAUCCUAUAUUUUUGGUGUUUAUUUUGGAUGGUCCGGAGUUUUUGGCUGCAACUAUGUUGGACAGAGAUAUGCUUGCUAUUGCUGUAAAUUGGUACCAUGUCGGUUGGUUUUGCUUGGUAAGAUUUGUGACGAUGCAUCGGACAAACAACAUUGGGAAAAUAUACAGCCUUGAGCCUUGAUGACCAAAGUAUAUCUCUAUUUGAGAAAUUCUCCAAAGAUCCAGAGCCGAUUGUUUCAUAGAGCUGUGAAGUUGCGUUAAACAUACUGGAUUUUGAACGAUCCGACAAACCAUUCGAGGUACUUGGAAGAUUAAGUCUCUUAUCUGGGUGGUUGUUACAGGUUUAGGAUGUUAAAUGAUUUUGGAUGUACUCUGCGAUGUCGAUGAUGCAGAGAUGUUGGUGAAGCUCAGGUUCGAACAACUUCAUGUGUAUAUUUUAUUAUAAAAAAAUAAAAGUUUUUUUUUUAUUUCAUGGGCCGUUCAGAGAGGCAAGUUUCUGCCUCCGGUUCUUGCCCGAAGUUUCUGACCUUACUCGCAACCCAUUGACUACAACUUUCAAUUCAAAACAAUUAUAAAAAAAUUACGUUUGAAAACA